GAUGAACGCUGGCGGCGUGCCUAAUACAUGCAAGUCGAGCGAAUGGAUUAAGAGCUUGCUCUUAUGAAGUUAGCGGCGGACGGGUGAGUAACACGUGGGUAACCUGCCCAUAAGACUGGGAUAACUCCGGGAAACCGGGGCUAAUACCGGAUAACAUUUUGAACCGCAUGGUUCGAAAUUGAAAGGCGGCUUCGGCUGUCACUUAUGGAUGGACCGGCGUCGCAUUAGCUAGUGGGUGAGGUAACGGCUCACCAAGGCAACGAGGCGUAGCCGACCUGAGAGGGUGUUCGGCCACACUGGGACUGAGACACGGCCCAGACUCCUACGGGAGGCAGCAGUAGGGAGUCUUCCGCAAUGGACGAAAGUCUGACGGAGCAACGCCGCGUGAGUGAUGAAGGCUUUCGGGUCGUAAAACUCUGUUGUUAGGGAAGAACAAGUGCUAGUUGAAUAAGCUGGCACCUUGACGGUACCUAACCAGAAAGCCACGGCUAACUACGUGCCAGCCGCCGCAGUAA
rnacentral:rRNA from 1 species